rnacentral:rRNA from 1 species
UGAAUACGAGAUGCUACGGCGUCGAAGCAGUCUAUGUCAGACUUCCAAGAAAAGCUCGCAAUGUCAUAAACAAUAAAUGCCUGUACCAUAACCGACACAGGUGGGUAGGUAGAGUAUACUAAGGGGCGCGAGAUAACUCUCUCUAAGGAACUCGGCAAAAUGACUCCGUAACUUCGGGAGAAGGAGUGCCUUAUUUAUAAGGUUGCAAUAACAAGAUCCAAGCAACUGUUUACCAAAAACACAGGUCUCCGCUAAGUCGUAAGACGAUGUAUGGGGGCUGACGCCUGCCCAGUGCCAGAAGGUUAAAGAAGUUGGUUAGCCUAGCGAAGCUGAUGACUGAAGCCCUGGUGAACGGCGGCCGUAACAAUAACGGUCCUAAGGUAGCGAAAUUCCUUGUCGGGUAAGUUCCGACCCGCACGAAAGGCGUAAUGAUUUGGAUACUGUCUCGGAGAGGGGCUCGGUGAAAUAGACUUGUCUGUGAAGAUGCGGACUACCUGCACCUGGACAGAAAGACCCUAUGAAGCUUUACUGUAACUUGAGAUUGAAAUUGGACUUUAUUUGCGCAGUAUAGGUGGGAGACGUUGAGAAUACUCUUGCGGGAGUAUUGGAGUCAUCAGUGAGAUACCACUCUUGUAAUCUUAGAUUUCUAACUUUGUAUCAUUAUCUGGUCAAAGGACAGUUUCAGGCGGGCAGUUUGACUGGGGCGGUCGCCUCCCAAGUGGUAACGGAGGCGCACAAAGGUUUCCUCUGAACGUGUAGAAAUCGUAUCUAGAGUGUAAAGGCAUAAGGAAGCUUGACUGUGAGACCUACAAGUCGAGCAGGGACGAAAGUCGGUCUUAGUGAUCUGACGGUGCUGAGUGGAAAGGCCGUCACUCAACGGAUAAAAGUUACUCUAGGAUAACAGGCUGAUCUCCCCCAAGAGUUCACAUCGACGGGGAGGUUUGGCACCUCGAUGUCGGCUCAUCGCAUCCUGGGGCGGUAGUACGUCCCAAGGGUUGGGCUGUUCGCCCAUGAAAGCGGUACGCGAGCUGGGUUCAGAACGUCGUGAGACAGUUCGGUCCAUAUCCGGUGUAGGCGUUAGAAUAUUGAGAGGAGCCUUCUUUAGUACGAGAGGACCGAGAAGGACAUACCUCUGGUGUACCAGUUAUCGUGCCAACGGUAAACGCUGGGUAGCUAUGUAUGGAGUGGAUAACCGCUGAAAGCAUCUAAGUGGGAAGCCCACCUCAAGAUAAGUA